GGCACUAAAUACAGCAUGUGAAGGUGUUUUCCACAGCAGAGGUGAGCUGUACGCUUAUUGUUAGUCAAUGAGGUUUAAACAGUUGGAUCAACUAUGUUUGUGAUAAACUUACUUGCUUUCUGUUUGCUACUGUGUGCUACCAGCUGCUCUGCUGACAAUGCUGCAAGAUCCAAAUCAGUGAAUCUUCAGCCCUUUUUGGUUGGUCUUGACGGCUGUCGUUGGCUUCCUGCUGAUUGCCUUUGUUGUUCUGAUCCUGUAUAAUCUACUAAACAGAAAAAGGGACACAGAGGACAAAUGGGGCUAUGGAAAAGCUGAAAAGCUGGAUGAUGGCGAAGUCAAGGAAACCAAUAUGUAGAUUUUGUCUGCUUCUGAAAGAUACUCUACCAACACAUGACAGCGGCCACACAAUCAGUGAUGCAUAUCAACAACAAAUAAUUUGACUGCAUUAAUUCCAGGCUAUCAACAAUGUAAUGAGGACUUUUUCUUCUCUAAAGGUUAUAAAAUCUUGUUAAAAAAGAAAUAAUUUAUUGCCUUUAUUUAUAUAUAGUACAAACUCACAGAUGUUCACAAUCACCUAACUUUUGAAAUAAAUCAUCUCACUGAAAAUUCAAUGAGAAUUUUCUUUAAAAUAGCUUCACUUAGAGAGGAGCCCCAUCUACAAUGAACAUCUAGUUUUUUUAUAUGUUCAAUCAAUCAAUCAAUUAUCUGAAUAGCACUUUAUAACAACACCUGGAAGACCAAAGUCCUUCACAGCAAGAUAAAAACAUUGUAAAAACAAAAAUCGAUUCUGGACUGUAGGAUCCAUCGGUCCUCAUGGAACAGCUCAAUAUGAAUACAACGAGAAAGCCAUAUGUUUAAAAGUAAAAACUCAAAGCAUGGCAAAAGAAAACCAGUGGCAGUGAGCAUCUCUAUCACGGCAGUUUGCACUGGACACACGGGCAGAAAGCUAAUGAGGACAUCCACAGUCAAAAGAAGAGACAAUAUUAAACCUUUUUAUUUUUCUUAACAUGAUCUGAUGUUAUCUGAGGAAAUUUGAUUACAUUUUUAGCUACAAAAAAGCCUCCUUGUAUUUCAGGUUAAUAUAUUUACUCAGUUGGUUUGAAAUGAGAACAUUAAAUCAGAGCAAAGACAUACCUAGGAUGUUUUUUGUGACAGUAUUAUGUUGCAGAUAAAAUAAUUUGACUAAAAAGAAAAGUAAACGAUGUAAAAUGAAACACAGAUAAAUAAAAAGUA